UGGCUUUCUUGGGGGUGGGGAGGGACACACACAUUAUCACUGGGAAGGUGAUUUCCUCACAGUGAGACUCAGCUCCUGCACUCGGGAUGUGCUGGCUCUUCUGACUUUGUCAAACACAGGAAACUCAGCUGCAUAAUCUGUGGUGAAGGGGGAACAGUGUUUAUGCUAUCUCCUA
rnacentral:snRNA from 13 species